rnacentral:rRNA from 1 species
UACGAAGGGGGCUAGCGUUGUUCGGAAUUACUGGGCGUAAAGCGCGCGUAGGCGGCUAUUCAAGUCAGAGGUGAAAGCCUGGAGCUCAACUCCAGAAUUGCCUUUGAAACUGUGUAGCUAGAGUGUCGGAGGGGAUAGCGGAAUUGCUAAUGUAGAGGUGAAAUUCGUAGAUAUUAGCAGGAACACCGGUGGCGAAGGCGGCUAUCUGGACGACAACUGACGCUGAGGCGCGAAAGCGUGGGGAUCAAACAGG